rnacentral:lncRNA from 1 species
AUUUCCUGGAACAGAUGAGGAACAUUCAUUGGGGCUUGUCCACACUGCAAUAUCGCUCCCAGUUGUACUACAGUUGCUCUGGCUGUAGAUUUAGAUUAUCCUGAUACUGUUUGUCCACAGAUAGGAAAGAUGUUGCUGGGAUGUGCUAGGUCAUACCUGUCCACACGCAUAGGGAAUUGCUCCUUAAGUUCUCACUCCGAAAAUGGGUCCACCCCUUUUGUCUAUUUUCUCUGCCCUUUUCCCACUUAGUGCACUCUCUCUUCCCUUCCCUCCUUGCGUCUUGUGGGCACCAGUCUGCAGUAUGAGUAUCUUAGUCCAGCAGAUGUGGACAACAUCAGGUUCAGGAAAGAUGGGUUAUAUAUUUAUUACAUCUCCCUCUCCCUUCUCUUCAGCGUACAAGUUGUGUUCCUUUUGAUAAGCCACGCAAUCUAGCCUUCUCAGGCCAUGCAGGAUGCAGAUGUGGCUUGGUGUCUGUAUUUUUGGUCUUCCUUCGACAAAGUUUGUGUUAUAGAAACAGAAGAGGUGUGUCCUAGCACAAGAAGCACAGGCGUCAGAACAGGGGGGUCUGGCGAGGUCAAAGCAAGGACCCAUCCACAUUGAUAGCCUCUUCCUACCAAUCAACAGACAGAGGAACCUUUCCUUUCAAAAUGAGGGACAGAGUUUCUCAAACCUUCCUGGCUUUCAUUGGUGGCAUCUUCUUGUCCCUGCGAUUCUGUCAUGCAGAAAGUACAGAGAAUGAUUGCUUGUCAUCUCAGUGCCCUGAAAACAGUGGAGGUGGGGCACUAUGGAUCUCACUGACUAUUUGUAUCAUACUGCAGUUGCUCAUCAUAUUUGUUCUUACGGUGUUGUUGUGGAGAAGAACCUGUAGUCGGAAGCAUCAAGACCAUCUAAAGGAACUCAGCAAAGAUAUUUCCAAGUUGGAAUACAAGGCACAAGUCUAUGAGAACAUCAAGACCCGAUCGGAGAUCCUGUGACAUGGGAAAUACUCUGCUUCUCACUGACUCAUCUAGUCCUGGAACAUAGCCAGCAGCACUUGAAUAUUAUUACAUUUUCCUCGCUUCUAACCUUUUCCAGGAAUUUUUUUUUCUUGUGGGUUAUUCCUGUGAGACUAUCUCAUCCUCUCCAACCUUUUGUAAAUUUCUAGAUCAGCUGUCCUUAGUCAAUGGCCGUCCAGAGCUGGACAAUAAAAAUUCCAAGGAUUCUGCA